rnacentral:rRNA from 1 species
AGCAGCCGCCGCGGUAAUACGAAGGGUGCAAGCGUUACUCGGAAUUACUGGGCGUAAAGCGUGCGUAGGUGGUGGUUUAAGUCCGUUGUGAAAGCCCUGGGCUCAACCUGGGAAUUGCAGUGGAUACUGGGUCACUAGAGUGUGGUAGAGGAUAGUGGAAUUUCCGGUGUAGCAGUGAAAUGCGUAGAGAUCGGAAGGAACAUCUGUGGCGAAGGCGACUAUCUGGGCCAACACUGACACUGAGGCACGAAAGCGUGGGGAGCAAACAGGAUUAGAUACCCGCGUAGUCCCUGUCUCUUAUAC